rnacentral:rRNA from 1 species
GAUGAACGCUAGCGAAGGCUUAACACAUGCAAGUCGAGGGACAGGCGGAUGGGUGCGUAACGCGUAUGCAACUUGCCUCACAGAGGAGAAAAACCCGGAGAAAUCCGGACUAAUCCUCCAUACACUGAGAUAGGCACGCGCCCUAUUAGGGAGUUGGUGAGGUAACGGCUCACCACGCCGACGGUAGGUAGGGGUGCUGCGAGGCAGAUCCCCCACAAUGGGACUGAGCCUCGUACCAAACUCCUACUGGAGGCAGCGGUGAUGAAUAGUGGUCAAUGGAGGAAACUCUGAACCAGCCAAGUCGCGUGAAGGAAGAAUGACUGAGGAGUGUAAACUUCGUUAGCGAGCAAGUAAGUAGCUUGAGAAUAAGUAUCGGCUAACUCCGUGCCAGCCGCCGCGGUAAUUC